GUGGGUAUAGCGUAGAUGGUAGCGCGUCAGAUUGUGGCUCUGAAGGUCGUGGGUUCAAGUCCCACUAUCCACC
rnacentral:tRNA from 1 species